rnacentral:tRNA from 1 species
AUUUAUAUAAUUUAUAUAGAAUGUUGCGUUGAAGUUGCAAGAGAAGUUUUUAAACUUAUAAAUG